rnacentral:rRNA from 1 species
UACAGAGGUCCCAAGCGUUGUUCGGAUUCAUUGGGCGUAAAGGGUGCGUAGGCGGCUUGUCGCGUCGACUGUGAAAACCUGCAGCUUAACUGUGGGCUUGCGGUCGAUACGGGCAUCACUGGAGUUCGGCAGGGGAGACUGGAAUUCCUGGUGUAGCGGUGAAAUGCGCAGAUAUCAGGAGGAACACCGGUGGCGAAGGCGGGUCUCUGGGCCGAUACUGACGCUGAGGAGCGAAAGCGUGGGGAGCGAACAGG